UAGGGAAUCUUCCGCAAUGGACGCAAGUCUGACGGAGCAACGCCGCGUGAGUGAAGAAGGAUUUCGGUUCGUAAAACUCUGUUGUUAGAGAAGAACAGCGCAUAGAGUAACUGUUAUGCGUGUGACGGUAUCUAACCAGAAAGCUACGGCUAACUACGUGCCAGCAGCCGCGGUAAUACGUAGGUGGCAAGCGUUGUCCGGAUUUAUUGGGCGUAAAGCGAGCGCAGGCGGUCAAUUAAGUCUGAUGUGAAAGCCCCCGGCUCAACCGGGGAGGGUCAUUGGAAACUGGUUGACUUGAGUGCAGAAGAGGAGAGUGGAAUUCCAUGUGUAGCGGUGAAAUGCGUAGAUAUAUGGGGGAACACCAGUGGCGAAGGCGACUCUCUGGUCUGUAACUGACGCUGAGGCUCGAAAGCGUGGGUAGCAAACAGG
rnacentral:rRNA from 1 species